UACGAAGGGUGCAAACGUUGCUCGGAAUCAUUGGGCGUAAAGCGCACGUAGGCGGCUUGCCAAGUCGGACGUGAAAUCCCUCAGCUCAACUGAGGACGUGCAUCCGAAACUGGCGAGCUUGAGUACUGAAGAGGAUCGCGGAAUUCCCGGUGUAGAGGUGAAAUUCGUAGAUAUCGGGAGGAACACCAGUGGCGAAGUCGGCGAUCUGGGCAGAUACUGACGCUGAGGUGCGAAAGCGUGGGGAGCAAACAGG
rnacentral:rRNA from 1 species